UGUGGCGACUAUACUGGGCCUGUCCCACCUGAUCCCAUUCCGAACUCAGAAGUGAAAUGGCUCAAGGCCGAUGGUAGUGCGCAAGCGCGAGAGUAGGUAGUUGCCACCA
rnacentral:rRNA from 1 species